GACGCGUCACGCACCGGCUGUUGUGUGAACGAGCUCAGGACAGUUGGACCGUGCGGCGGAUCAACGCCGUGAGUACCAUUGACUGACAUUAUAUGACUGACAGACUGCAACGGUUUGAGUUAAAAGUCUUUGUUUGUGUUCUACUGAAGAAACAAAGUCACCUACAUCUUGGAUGCCCUGGGACUCUCUCACAGCAUUGGCCAAAUUACUGCGGGUUCCACACAGUCCACUGUGAGCUUCGAUGCGCCGUCCAUCACUGGCCAUAUUCAGAGGGGGCGGAGUCUUCAUCUCCAAGGACCUGCUCAGGUUGCCAUGAGAGAAC